GCCCCUGUCGUCCAAUGGCUAGGACAUCGCACACCUUUCCAAAUCUUGAAAAACUCUCGGCGAAGAUCGGCGUUCAAAUCGUCGCAGGGGCG